rnacentral:rRNA from 1 species
UACGUAUGGAGCAAGCGUUAUCCGGAUUUACUGGGUGUAAAGGGAACGUAGGCGGUCCUGCAAGUCUGAUGUGAAAGGCCGGGGCUCAACCCCGGGACUGCAUUGGAAACUGUAGGACUAGAGUGUCGGAGGGGUAAGUGGAAUUCCUAGUGUAGCGGUGAAAUGCGUAGAUAUUAGGAGGAACACCAGUGGCGAAGGCGGCUUACUGGACGACUACUGACGCUGAGGCUCGAAAGCGUGGGGAGCAAACAGG